rnacentral:rRNA from 1 species
UACGUAGGGUGCGAGCGUUGUCCGGAAUUACUGGGCGUAAAGAGCUCGUAGGUGGUUUGUCGCGUUGUUCGUGAAAACUCACAGCUCAACUGUGGGCGUGCGGGCGAUACGGGCAGACUGGAGUACUGCAGGGGAGACUGGAAUUCCUGGUGUAGCGGUGGAAUGCGCAGAUAUCAGGAGGAACACCGGUGGCGAAGGCAGCUCGCUGGGACGGUACUGACGCUGAGGCGCGAAAGCGUGGGGAGCAAACAGG